UGUAAGGAUGGAGCAGCUGAGCAGCCUUUUAUGGUCCUGUACAAAGAGUUUGUUUCCCUUUCCUAAUGCUCAGUCCCUCUUUCAGAUAAGCUUUGGUGACAUCAGAAUUCUCCAUUUAGCUGAAAGAUAAAGAAAGACAUGAUGUCUCCAUUUGAUGACUUAGAGAAGUGUGAAGGUAAGACACAAAAAAGGAAAGCUUGCGAAGAGAAGCUCACUGGCAAGAAAACAGAUGGUCCCAUGAAGGAAAGACAAAAAAGAAAAUCAUCUACAAAAUGGUGAUGGGGCUGUUCUACCAACCAGGAUCACAGAAGAUAUCCUUGGACAGGGCAUAUUUGUUCAACUAGAAGCACAAUGUGCUCCCUCCAUGACCCCGUAAACCCUGU
rnacentral:lncRNA from 1 species